UCUGAUCGAGAUAGCCGUCAGUGUAUAUACUACGGCAAAUCUGGUCAUAUUGUUGACACAUGUUGGGCCAAGCAUGGCAAGCCUGAGUGGGCUCAGCGAUUAGUUACUGCAAAUGCUGCUAUGUCUGAAGGGAGUGCUGGAAAUGUGUCUUACGGCGACACGAAUCCAUCUAUCCCAAGUGGGGGUAGUUCUUCUGAGUCCGCGUCUCGGGAAGAUAUGGUCGCACAACUCAUCAAGCGUGUCCAACAACUGGAGGCUUCCAAUUUCUCAUCCACUGCCACUCUUGCACGUACAGGACCUUCAAACAAAGAAGAAGAUUGGUGGAGGGCAUGAACAUGAUGGACUCUAUUAUCUGGAUGGUGUCUCCACUGCUGACGCCAAUGGUCUAGCUGCUAGUCCUAUUACCCCCCCUAUUAUGGCAUUCCCGUUUAGGGCAUUUAUCUUUAUUUAAGUUACAGCAAAUAAUUCCCGAGUGUAAAUCAAUUUCUACUCGAGUGUGAGGCUUGUGAACUUGGGAAACAUCAUCGUAGUUCUUUUCCUAGUCGUAGUGAUUCUCGUGCAUCUACUUUAUUAGAACUUGUUCAUUCGGACAUCUGGGGACCUUCCCGUGUUGCUAAUAGAAAUGGUUUUAAGUACUU